rnacentral:rRNA from 1 species
UUGCCUACGGGACGCAGCAGUGGGGGAUAUUGCACAAUGGGGGAAACCCUGAUGCAGCGACGCCGCGUGAGUGAAGAAGUAUUUCGGUAUGUAAAGCUCUAUCAGCAGGGAAGAAAAAAGACGGUACCUGAAGAAGAAGCCCCGGCUAACUACGUGCCAGCAGCCGCGGUAAUACGUAGGGGGCAAGCGUUAUCCGGAUUUACUGGGUGUAAAGGGGGCGCAGACGGCGAUGCAAGCCAGGAGUGAAAGCCCGGUGCCCAACCCCGGGCCUGCUCUUGGAACUGCGUGGCUGGAGUGCAGGAGGG